rnacentral:rRNA from 1 species
AUUGAACGCUGGCGGCAUGCUUUACACAUGCAAGUCGAACGGCAGCGCGGGCUUCGGCCUGGCGGCGAGUGGCGAACGGGUGAGUAAUACAUCGGAACGUGCCCAGUAGUGGGGGAUAGCUCGGCGAAAGCCGGAUUAAUACCGCAUACGACCUGAGGGUGAAAGCGGGGGAUCUUCGGACCUCGCGCUAUUGGAGCGGCCGAUGGCAGAUUAGCUAGUUGGUGGGGUAAAGGCCUACCAAGGCGACGAUCUGUAGCUGGUCUGAGAGGACGACCAGCCACACUGGGACGGGGACACGGACCCUGCUCCUGAGGGAGGCAGCAGUGGGGAAUGUUGGGCAAUGGGGGGAAGCCUGGUCCAACGAGGCCGCGUGUGUGAUGGAGGCCUUCGGGGUGGAAAGCACUUUUGGCGGGAACGAAAAGGACUGUGCCAAUACCACGGUUCGAUGACGGUACCCGCAGAAUAAGCACCGGCUAACUACGUG